UACGGGGGGGGCAAGCGUUGUUCGGAAUUACUUGGCGUAAAGGGCUCGUAGGUGGCCAACUAAGUCAUACGUGAAAUCCCUCGGCUUAACCGGGGAACUGCGUCUGAUACUGGAUGGCUUGAGGUUGGGAGAGGGAUGCGGAAUUCCAGGUGUAGCGGUGAAAUGCGUAGAUAUCUGGAGGAACACCGGUGGCGAAGGCAGCCCCCUGGGCUGAGAUUGACGCUGGGUGCACGAAAGCGUGGGGAGCAAACAGG
rnacentral:rRNA from 1 species